GCAGACAGCAAACAGCAGCUCUGCUACAGAGAAUAGAAACGUCAGGACAGCAUCACUGAUUUUAGACUGACUGCAAAUCAGCAGCACCGUAUGUGAACCAUGGAGGCCAGGAUCUACAGUUUCGGAUCAUUGUGCAGAAGGUAGGUCUUCUGUUUCAACCCAGAUCCACUUGCCCAUAAUCCUGACCAGAACUGAACCAUGCAAGAUUCACUUAAACAGCCCAUGCUAAUCAUCACACACACUUUUUGCACCUAUCAGUCUUUCACAGCCUGUUUUUCAGUGCAUCUAAUUAAUAAGAGCAAGAGUUGAAGAGAUGCGCACAGUGGCUGCUCCACAAACCCAAAUCUCAUCUCCUCACUCUACAUCAAAGCACAGUAUGAACCAGCAAAUCCCCGAAACACACAAUUAAAUACCAUCUCAAUAUUCACUCUCAAAAUCCUCAAUGUUUGGACAACUGUGGUUUUGGCAUAUCAUCUUUUAGCAAAUAUCCCAACUCUAAAACGACUUAUCUUACAACCCAAGUUUACAAAAGUUAAUAUACCAUUUCAAAUGUUGUUAAAACAGGAAUUGCAAAGACUAAUCAAGCAACCUUGAUUUUUGCUGGUUAACAGUAGCUACACAUGGAAGUCACAUUAAGUUUCAACUUAAUUCCAGCGUGGGAAAACAUUUACACCAGGUUCACAAGGCAGCUUAAUAAAGAUGUGAAACAGAUCUUCUUUAAACUUCUAAUCUAUCACUUUAAAAACAGGCGUGGAGGAGACGUGUUCGCACAGUGGCUGCAUUACAGUCUCAACACUUGAAUACAUGUCUUUUAAUUAUUUAAACAGACUUCAUACCAUUAUAUAACAUAACCAUCACAGCAAUGGCAUAAAUGACGAGUUUUGCAAGGCACGUAUGCGCAUCCCACCAACUCUUUAAAAAAAUAAUAUCGAUAAUAUAAACUUUGAAAGUUGAAGUCUUUACACCAUACAUACAUGAGCAAAUCAAAGGUUUUUCACCUCAGCACACUUAAUUCAAUUAAUUUCAACGUUUUCCCCGUGCAAAUUUAAACAUUUCUGACAUUAAAACAUGGUUCUAUAGGUCAAGACAUGGUCAAGUGAAAUCCAUAACUCUGUGCCCACAACUUCGAUUAACUGUCAAUCUUUGCACUUAAAUCCUUCUUGGUAGAUUGUACCUUUUAACGGGUAAAAUUGAGACAAUUUAUUGAAUUUUGAUAUAAGAUUUCAAAGCUUUCUUACCUGUGACACUGCUGUGCCACAGUCUGACCGGAGUCGGGGGUCCUCCGGAAGCCAUCUACCGUCGAGAUUCAGGAUCCGCAGGUGUCCUCAGGUGUUGUUUCCUUCUCGUGAAGUCCGGGUGUUUAAAAUCCAAGCGAAGAUUCAGGAUCCGCAGGUGCCCUCAGGUGUUGUUUUCUUCUCGUGAAGUCCGGGUGUUCAAAAUCCAAGUGAAGUUUGAGCUUUUUGCCAAAAAUAUCUCUCUCUCAGCGAAAAGUAAUACAAGCCAG